GUGAAGGUCUAUCCUCAUGGGACUUUUCCUGUAGACCCACAUUGUUGGAAAUACCUCAUAGAGUAACUAUGUGGCUUUGCUUUACUCUUAGAACUAUAUGUUAGAUCUGUGGGAGAAACUACAAGACAGAG